rnacentral:rRNA from 1 species
CACGUAGGGGGGCAAGCGUUGUCCGGAUUUAUUGGGCGUAAAGAGCGUGUAGGCGGCUAGGUAGGUCCGUUGUGAAAACUCGAGGCUCAACCUCGAGCUGUCGAUGGAAACCAUCUGGCUAGAGUCCGGAAGAGGAGAGUGGAAUUCCUGGUGUAGCGGUGAAAUGCGCAGAUAUCAGGAAGAACACCCGUGGCGAAGGCGGCUCUCUGGUACGUGACUGACGCUGAGACGCGAAAAGCGUGGGGGAGCGAACAGG